GGAUGCUUGCUCACUCCAGUUUCCGUGGGGAGCUGCGGACAAGGGUGCCCACCAGUGGUGUCACUUCAGGACCCCAUUCCUGCUCACCCCACACUCCUUCCUCAGUCCCGUGGUGUCAGUUCAGGCCCCCAUUCCCGCUCACCCCACACUCCUUCCUCAGUCCCCUCUUGGUGUCAGUUCAGGCCCCCAUUCCUGCUCACCCCACACUCCUUCCUCAGCCCCCCAGUGGUGUUGGCCCAGGCCCCCAACUCCUGAUCACCCCGUGCCCCUUCCUCGGCCCCUGGGCAGUCCUGGACCCCACAGUGUCUCCCUGGUUCGGCCUCUUGGAGCCGGGAGGAAGCCUGGCACUCCUGUGCCUGGCCCUGUCUCAGGCACUGGGGUUGGGGCCUGGACCCCUUACCUGCUCAGCUUGAGGGGAGCUCCCUGCACUUCCUGACUGUCCCCCCACUGCACCUCCCAUUCCAUUCACGGGCAGACUCCCCUGCCCAUCUCUCCUGUCACCACGGGUUUCUCCGAGGCGUGGCAUCCCAGGGUUGGCGUGAUGUGGGCAUGAGCCACUGGCUGCAUGUAAAAGGGCCGCCCUGCCCACCACACCACCACACAGGUGCUUCUAGACCGGGGCUGGGCCCACGCUCCAUCCCUGCCCACCACACCACCACACAGGUGCUUCUGGGCCGGGGCUGGGCCCGUGCUCCAUGCUGCUGCUGGCACUGCACGGUUUCCAUGUGACGUGGCUUCUUCCCACAGCCCCACAGAGGACACUCCCACCCCGUGGGCUGUCCAUGCCCUGAGCUGCCUGUGUUUAUUUUGGCUGGCCUGAGGGGGACUAUAGUCUGAUGGGUUGUGAUUUUGCCUUUUCCUGAUAUUAAUGAAGUUGAAUGUUUGUUAUAGUCAUUUGGGUCUUGCUCUUCAGUAAACUUCCUUUUGUUUCUUGCCUUUUUAAAAGAUUUUCCACUGGC